CUCCACCACGCCUCUCCUCCUCUUCUCUCUCUCUCGUCCCCACGCCUCUUCUCUCUCCCUUAUCCUCUUCUCUCUCUCUCUCGUUCACUACGCCUCUCCACCUCCACCAAGCACAACACCUUCUUCUCUCUCCAUUAUCAUGUUCUCACUCUCCCAUCCCCCACGCCUCUCCUCCUUCCCAGCCGAGAUCCACCUCCACCUCCCGCCGUUCCCCAAGCCGCUGACGAGCACCAGGUGAAGCUCCGCCACCCCUACCUCCUUCUCCUUCUUCCUGCCUGUCUUCCUCCUUCUUUAUGUCUCUCCCAUACCUCACCCCUUGCCCUCUCCCUCUCAGGCGCCCAAAGCCAUGGAUGGCUGCGGAGCUUCGUGCCACCGACGUCAACCACAUCACCACCCCAAGGGAUCCGUGGGCGUGGCUGUGUUGAGCCGCACGUGCGCUAGAUCCAUCCGCCGGUGUGUGCCGCCCCAGCAGCAGGUCUGGCAAUGACUCUCGGCCCAGUCAUUUCACUGCUCCUGCCCAAGCCAGCCUCCGCUUUCGGACCCUGUCACUGGUGCGCUGCCAUGCCCAUCCUCGUCGCACUGGUGCUGUCCUCGAGUAUGCUUGCUGGCUGCGACCGGGACCUGUACACAUUUGGUUCGGUUGCAGCACUGCUACUUCCGGUGGAUCUAGGCUGCCCAGGCUAGCAACGUGUAGGUUGCUUUCUUGAUGCGUUUUAAGUGGAUCUUAAUUUGAUGUAUUUUGGCACUUGUCCGUGUGUAAAUCAGAUGUGCAGAACACUUAGAAGUUGCUACUCAUAUGUUAUUCUUGCUCGUAUGUAUACCUGUGAAGAAUGGCUAGCUUGUGAAUCCGUUUUCUUUUUGUUAAAGAAAUAUACAUUCAUUCUUAUUGGAUCUGUAUUGCAAAUCUCUAUAGUGACGCCAUCGUCCUCUUUUGCUCUAGCCACACUGUACACUGACGUUAUUUCUAAAAAUAAAAAAUAAAAA
rnacentral:lncRNA from 1 species